rnacentral:rRNA from 1 species
UACGUAGGUGGCGAGCGUUGUCCGGAUUUACUGGGCGUAAAGAGCGCGCAGGCGGUCGUUCAAGUCGCGUGUGAAAGCCCCCGGCUCAACUGGGGAGGGUCACGCGAUACUGAUCGACUCGAAGGCAGGAGAGGGAAGUGGAAUUCCCGGUGUAGUGGUGAAAUGCGUAGAUAUCGGGAGGAACACCGGUGGCGAAGGCGGCAUCCUGGACCGACACUGACGCUGAGGAGCGAAAGCCAGGGGAGCAAACGGG